rnacentral:rRNA from 1 species
GUCGAGCGGAGAGAGGUAGCUUGCUACUGAUCUUAGCGGCGGACGGGUGAGUAAUGCUUAGGAAUCUGCCUAUUAGUGGGGGACAACAUUUCGAAAGGAAUGCUAAUACCGCAUACGUCCUACGGGAGAAAGCAGGGGAUCUUCGGACCUUGCGCUAAUAGAUGAGCCUAAGUCGGAUUAGCUAGUUGGUGGGGUAAAGGCCUACCAAGGCGACGAUCUGUAGCGGGUCUGAGAGGAUGAUCCGCCACACUGGGACUGAGACACGGCCCAGACUCCUACGGGAGGCAGCAGUGGGGAAUAUUGGACAAUGGGCGCAAGCCUGAUCCAGCCAUGCCGCGUGUGUGAAGAAGGCCUUAUGGUUGUAAAGCACUUUAAGCGAGGAGGAGGCUACUUUAGAUAAUACCUAGAGAUAGUGGACGUUACUCGCAGAAUAAGCACCGGCUAACUCUGUGCCAGCAGCCGCGGUAAUACAGAGGGUGCAAGCGUUAAUCGGAUUUACUGGGCGUAAAGCGCGCGUAGGCGGCUAAUUAAGUCAAAUGUGAAAUCCCCGAGCUUAACUUGGGAAUUGCAUUCGAUACUGGUUAGCUAGAGUGUGGGAGAGGAUGGUAGAAUUCCAGGUGUAGCGGUGAAAUGCGUAGAGAUCUGGAGGAAUACCGAUGGCGAAGGCAGCCAUCUGGCCUAACACUGACGCUGAGGUGCGAAAGCAUGGGGGAGCACACAGGAUUAGAUACCCUGGUAGUCCAUGCCGUAAACGAUGUCUACUAGCCGUUGGGGCCUUUGAGGCUUUAGUGGCGCAGCUAACGCGAUAAGUAGACCGCCUGGGGGAGUACGGUCGCAAGACUAAACUCAAAUGAAUUGACGGGGGCCCGCACAAGCGGUGGGAGCAUGUGGUUUAAUUCGAUGCAACGCCGAAGAACCCUUACCCUGGGCCGUUGACAUAUAAGGAU